GAGAGGGGCUGCUCCUAGUACGAGAGGACCGGAGUGGACGAACCUCUGGUGUUCCGGUUGUCACGCCAGUGGCAUUGCCGGGUAGCUAUGUUCGGAAGCGAUAACCGCUGAAAGCAUCUAAGCGGGAAGCGCGCCUCAAGAUGAGAUCUCCCGGGGCACAAGCCCCCUGAAGGAACCAUGUAGACUACGUGGUUGAUAGGUCAGGUGUGUAAGUACAGCAAUGUAUUGAGCUAACUGAUACUAAUGAUCCGUGCGGCUUGACCAU
rnacentral:rRNA from 1 species